UACCUCAAAAAAACACAACAGUCUGUUUUAUCCGUAUAGGACCACCUGAUGAUUCCUAUACGGAUGAAACAGACUGUUGUGGUUUUU
rnacentral:miRNA from 1 species